UAGGUGUGGGUCUCAUUCCACGAGGUCCGUGCCGCAGCUAACGCAUUAAGUUCCCCGCCUGGGGAGUACGGCCGCAAGGCUAAAACUCAAAGGAAUUGACGGGGGCCCGCACAAGCGGCGGAGCAUGUGGAUUAAUUCGAUGCAACGCGAAGAACCUUACCAAGGCUUGACAUAUACCGGAAAUAUCCAGAGAUGGGUGCCCCGCAAGGUCGGUAUACAGGUGGUGCAUGGUUGUCGUCAGCUCGUGUCGUGAGAUGUUGGGUUAAGUCCCGCAACGAGCGCAACCCUCGUUCUAUGUUGCCAGCGCGUGAUGGCGGGGACUCAUAGGAGACUGCCGGGGUCAACUCGGAGGAAGGUGGGGAUGAGGUCAAAUCAUCAUGCCCCUUAUGUCUUGGGCUUCACACAUGCUACAAUGGCCGGUACAAAGGGCUGCGAAACCGCAAGGUGGAGCGAAUCCCAAAAAACCGGUCUCAGUUCGGAUUGGGGUCUGCAACUCGACCCCAUGAAGUUGGAGUCGCUAGUAAUCGCAGAUCAGCAACACUGCGGUGAAUACGUUCCCGGGCCUUGUACACACCGCCCGUCAAGUCACGAAAGUCGGUAACACCCGAAGCCGGUGGCCCAACCCUUGUGGAGGGAGCCGUCGAAGGUGGGGCUG
rnacentral:rRNA from 1 species